CUGGCCUGGCUGGGAGGUGGCCUGGGAAGGGACCCGUGUUUCUCAAGCCCGCGCCCUCGGGGCCUGGGGGUGGGGCCCAGCAGAUGUCUGGAUUUGGUAGCCAGGGCCUGGAGCCGGAUGCUGAGAUGAGGCCUGCAACUCAUUUCCCCAUUAAACGUCCUGAGAACAUCCGCACCGGCUCCAGGCCGCUCCCGCGCUCGCUGCUCUGAUGGCAGCGUGAAGCUCAGAGCGGGCACAGGUCCGCGGUGUUGUGGUGAAGGUGACAACAUUGCUCUUAAUUAGAUUAAAAACAUUUUUUUCUUCCUCUGUAAUUUUGCCUUGAAAAUCAAGGCUGCUUUUUUGUUUUCUUCUUCCAAAGACCUCCAGAAGCUUUCCUCCCCACCUCUCCAGAGGUUUCUUGGGAAUGUCCUGUGAGCUCAGCGCUUGGAGAAGACAGCGCUUAGCCCAGAUUCCACUGUGU
rfam:Camelus ferus unplaced genomic scaffold scaffold234, whole genome shotgun sequence.